rnacentral:rRNA from 1 species
UACGUAGGGGGCUAGCGUUGUCCGGAUUUAUUGGGCGUAAAGAGCGUGUAGGCGGCCAGGUAGGUCUGCUGUGAAAACUCGAGGCUCAACCUCGAGACGUCGGCGGAAACCAUCUGGCUAGAGUCCGGAAGAGGAGAGUGGAACUCCUGGUGUAGCGGUGGAAUGCGCAGAUAUCAGGAAGAACACCGACGGCGAAGGCAGCUCGCUGGGACGGUACUGACGCUGAGGCGCGAAAGCGUGGGGAGCGAACAGG